rnacentral:lncRNA from 1 species
ACAGAAGAAGAUGUCUGCAGAUGAAAAGACGUCUUUGACAAGUAUGGAUGAUGUUAUGAUAUUUCGACAAUUCGACAAGUCUGAGGAGAUGCGUCGUUUCGACGUAAAGCGGAAAUUCAAAUUCAAAAAGUUAUAACGAUUGGCAGAAGACGCGUGGAAGCACCUGGCGAAAGGAAGUCAUGCAGAGAGCCAAGUGUCAUAGUUUUAGGAUUUA